CACCCAGCUGCCACUGAGUUAUGUUGAGAAACUGAGCACCCGAGUGUCUUAGUGCAGGCAGCUGUAACAGAAUACCAUAGACUGGGUGUCUUGUACAUCACAGAAAAUUAUUUCUUUCCAUUUUGGAGCCCGGGAAGUCCAAGAUCAAGAUUUGGGCAUUCAGGUGAGGUCCUGUUUUCUUCAUAGACAGCUGUCUUCUUGCUUUGUCCUUACGUGGUAAAAAGGAGAACUCUGAUCUCUUCAGCCCCCUUAUAGGGGCACUAAUUACAUUCAUGAGGGCUCCACUUUCAUGAUUUACGGCCCCACCUCUUAAUACCAUUGCACUGGAGGUUAGGAUUUCAACAUAUACAUUUGGGGGUGGGGCACCAACACUGAGUCUAUAGCACCAGGUAGCUCCCAAAUAUUCUUGUGAGAAAAAUCACACCUGGGAGGUGUUCAGAGUUGAGUCCUAGCCCCUCCGGGGCUGUGGAGGAUGGAUACCUCCCCCCGGAGCUCUCCAGGCCGGGCAUUUGGGCAUGGUAUAAUGGAAAACCUGUGGCCUGGCAUUAACUGGCUGCCUGGCCCUGCUGUCUGCUAGGCACCACGUAAGGGAUUCCAAGAUGAAGACAUGGUCCCUGCUCUUGAGUAAUUUUUCAGCCCAGUGACUUAAUAUGGCCAUCAGGCAUCAAGAACAAGGCCAUGGGGGUGAUGACGUGUCGGAACGGAGGUGUGAACCUGGGGAGCCGGAUCUUCUCCCCUCGCCACCCCACGGCCCUGACUGAAAGCUUUGGCCCUCCUCCUCCCCCGUUGCCACCCCAUGGCCCUGACUGAAAGCUUUGGCCCUCCUCCUCCACUGUCACACUCAGUGAUGGGGAGCCCUACCCUAGAAGUGUAUCUCAUGAGAGCAUCAGGGAUGCAGUGAAAGAGCGAUGCUCAAGGGAGACAGGAAGAGAGAGCAACAUAAAGAUGUGGCUCCAUGUCCAUGGUGCACCCUGGUCAACAGAGGAAGGGGCGUGGGACCCGAUGGAAAUUUGGAGCUCAGGGAAAAUAGUUAGGGGGGGGCGGUCCUUACCUCUCUGCGUACCCCCUUAAGGUUGACCCCUUAGAUGGCCCAGGAACGGCAGGUGCUAGAGGAAUGGUAUCCACCUGGGCAUGGAAGUGGGGCAGAUUCAGGGGCCACUGGACUAAGGGGAGAGAAGGGCUUGUCAGCACCCACCCAGGGAGCCUGUCCAUUUAUGUCCCCAGAUAAAGGGUCCUAGAAGAGUUAAAAAAAAAAUAAAAAGAAUCCUCUGCAGUGGCAAUUUGUGGAGGUCAUUGGUUACCACAGAGCAGUUUCAGAAGAGUAUAUUUGAGGGGAGGGAGAAGAGACCGACCAUAGUGAUUUCAUUCUAGAAGUCUGCCUGGGAAGAAGAGAAAUAGGGAGGAUACCUAGAGGAGAAAGCAGGGAUGAUUGGGGAAAAUUCUUGUUUUAAUAUGGAGAGACAUAAGCACUUUUUUAUAAUCUCUGAAGUAGAAAUUGGUAUCUCAAGGCUGAGAAUUUCAGAGAGGAUAAAUUCAUUUGUUCAUUCAUUCAUUCAACAGACUGAUCAAUUACGCACUAUCGGCCAAGUGUGAUGGCUGGCGCCUGUAAUUCCAGUGCUUUGGGAGGCUGAGGUGGGAGGAUCACUUGAAGCUAGGAGUUUCAGACUAGCCUGGGUAACCUGGCGAAACCUCGUCUCUGCAAAAAAUAGCUACUGCACUCCAGUCUGGGCGUAGAGCAAGCCCCCGUCUCAAAAAAGUAAAGAAAGAGCACUAUGUACUGGGAUUUCCAGUCUUGUUGAAGGGACAAUAUUAAACACAAUUGAGAAAAUGCAAACUUGGAAUUUGGAUGGGUGUCUUAAAGGAAGAGGACAUAGUACCAGGCAAAGUGUAUCGAAGAAGCUGGACCCGGCCAGAGGGGUUGGGGCCAAGGUGUAAGGCUUGGGCAAAGAUUAGAAGGGUGAAUUGGAAGCAGUGAUGUGAGACAGAUGAGAUGAUAUGAAUGAGAUGAGGCAGGCGCUUCGAUGGCCAGGAUGACCAGGAUAUAGCAAUAGAGAAGCAAGAAAGAAUAGUCAAAAGGGUCUUGGUCUUUAUUUUAAGAGCCCAGGAAGCCACUGAAGAUCUUUGAGACGGGAGAUGACAGGAUCAGAUUUGCUUAUGAAAAAAUUGCUUACAAAAACACAGAGGCUGUUUCAUGGACACUAGGAGAUCAGCUGAGGCCCUUAGGAGCCUAUUACUGUAUCCAAGCUAAGGAUGUUCAUGUCUUGGAAUGUGGAUGGUGAUAGUGAAAAAAAGAAGCAGACAAAUUCAAGAUAUAUUUAGGAGAUAAAAUGUCCAGGGCUUGAUCAUGAAUUGGGUACAUAUGGGUGUGAGAGAAGGGAGGUGUUCAGAGUUGAGUCCUAGGAUUCCAGCUUGCUCAGCUAGGGGGUGCCAUCUAUUGAAAGGUAAGGAAGCAGAGUUUUAGAGGAGGCAAGAGAAGGUUGGGUCAGAUCACAGGUGAGAAGAUUACCCUUGAACAGGAGAGACUAAUU
rnacentral:lncRNA from 10 species